UACAGAGGGGGCAAGCGUUGUUCGGAAUUACUGGGCGUAAAGGGCGCGUAGGCGGCCUGUUAAGUCGAACGUGAAAUCCCCGGGCUCAACCCGGGAACUGCGUCCGAUACUGGCAGGCUUGAAUCCGGGAGAGGGAUGUGGAAUUCCAGGUGUAGCGGUGAAAUGCGUAGAUAUCUGGAGGAACACCGGUGGCGAAGGCGGCAUCCUGGACCAACACUGACGCUGAGGAGCGAAAGCCAGGGGAGCAAACGGG
rnacentral:rRNA from 1 species